GAUGAACGCUGGCGGCGUGCCUAAUACAUGCAAGUCGAGCGAACGGACGAGAAGCUUGCUUUUCUGAUGUUAGCGGCGGACGGGUGAGUAACACGUGGAUAACCUACCUAUAAGACUGGGAUAACUUCGGGAAACCGGAGCUAAUACCGGAUAAUAUUUUGAACCGCAUGGUUCAAAAGUGAAAGACGGUCUUGCUGUCACUUAUAGAUGGAUCCGCGCUGCAUUAGCUAGUUGGUAAGGUAACGGCUUACCAAGGCAACGAUGCAUAGCCGACCUGGGAGGGUGAUCGGCCGCCCUGGAACUGAGACACGGUCCAUACUCCUACGGGAGGCAGCAGUAGGGAAUCUUCCGCAAUGGGCGAAAGCCUUGCGGAGCAACGCCGCGUGAGUGAUGAAGGUCUUCGGAUCGUAAAACUCUGUUAUUAGGGAAGAACAUAUGUGUAAGUAACUGUGCACAGCUUGACGGUACCUAAUCAGAAAGCCACGGCUAACUACGUG
rnacentral:rRNA from 1 species